rnacentral:miRNA from 1 species
AUGUAGGAACAGAAGCCAUUUC